rfam:Stegodyphus mimosarum contig99013, whole genome shotgun sequence.
GCCUUCGUGGUGUAGUGGUUAGCACGCUCGACGCGUAACCAAGAGAUCCGUGGUUCGAUUCGCGGCGAAAGCU